CCACCAUUCGUUUCUUAUCGUUUUCUAUGGCCUCCCCAUCCACUCGGCAUUACUCUCCCCUUUCACCUCCUCCAUAACAUAGGUGUCCCAUUUUCAUGAUUCAUAAAAGCUCUAUCAUUCACUGCACAAUUGGACAAUUAAUGUCCAUUUAACUUUUCCGCUUCCCUUAAAAUUACAUCUACAUAACAUAUAAACACUUUAAGAAGAGAGCAUGGAAUUGCAAUUCAUAUGUAGAUUACGAGCUGAAUCGAAACCAUCACCAAAGAUAAACCAUUCAUGAUGAGCUGUUCUCUGAUGCUAACUACAAGGAGAUUGAAGAGGAAGAAGGCUCCGACAAGGACGAUGAUUCCGAUGGAAGACCACAGGGAACUCAAUCCAGGUUUGCUACUGAUGGAUGCAACGCAUUCCAAAUCGCUUUCAAAGCUUCCAUGAAGAGUAAAUGAGAGGAUGCAAUGAGGAGAGGCUAAAGAGGAAGCUGAAAACAAGCCCAAAGGGUCAAGCCAGAAAGGCAAAACAUUUGGUUGCUGAGAAAGGACAUGUUAAACCUGCAAACUAUUUAGAUUCACAUCAGAAGAUUCUUAUAGGUAUUGCCACUAAAGGAGGUAUGCUUUCCUCAGUGCUGAAUUCAGUGGCUAACUGUCAGAGACAAGCAGAGGAGAGGCUAAAGAGAUCUGUAGUGAUGGUCCAAGCCACGUUCAUGUCUAAGCAAGCCCAAGAAAAUUACAGGAGGAUGAAGCUCACUCAUGAAGAAGCUCAGGUAAAAUUAUGUCUUGCUUUUUUUUUUCAUGUUCAGAGCCUCUCAAUUUAGAAAGACGGACUCUAAACGAUACUAUAAUAAAUGGAGAGUUUCUGUUGAUGGUGUGAUUCAACUGGAGUAUGAGUGCUUGCAAGAUAUUUGAUCAAAAUGGUGGCUACGGAUAAGACAAACAAGUCGUCAUUUCUACGCUGGUGGAAAGGAGUCAUCUCAGGUUUCAUAGAGGAGAAAAAGCCUAACAGAUGAUGAAGUAAUCAUUCGGAACAAAGUUGUGAAGGAAAUAAUUGAAGACGCAAGUACAUUACAAAACAGGGAAAGAUUUCUCAUACUAUCAUGAGAGAAGAAUCAAACCUUUCGUCAAUCCUUCAAGAAGUUCGUGGGACCCGUUGAUUUCAUAUGGUUCUUUUGACCUCCAGUUACUCCUUUGUCAAGUCAUUAAGCUUAAGGAACAAAACACCACAUAACCUCCUAAAGCUGCUUAGACCAGUGGAAUAAUGAUAAGUUCUUCGCUUAGAACAAUUGGAAGGCAUGGGAUGCUUUUCUUAAAGCAGUCUGAGAGCCGCCGGGUAAUUAUAGAGACUAUUCAUUCUGCUGCUUUUGCUGAGAAGAAAGUUAGUGCUGCCUAUAAUAUCUCAGAGCUGAGCCAUAAUCUUAUUUUGAAAUACGAGUUGAUAUUGUUAAAUAAGAGUUGAUAAGGAGCUCACAAUCAUAUUCUUUCCAGCCCAAAAUCAGCUUCUCAUUCGAGACAAUUAGGUAGCCAGUCAUUAGGUUCUAUGCAAAUUGUAAAAAAGCGAAGAAUACUAUAAAGAUGCAUUGUGAGUUCAGAUAGACAAGAUUUUUGGGUUCGAGUU